GCAGAUGAUGAGAGUUACCCCCACUGAUGAUGGUGAUGAGGCUGGGGUCUGAUGC
rnacentral:snoRNA from 1 species